CCUCUCCAGCUUCCUUACCCGUCGGACCUAAGCAUUGGUCUGAAAUUGCCGGAGGAAAAGUAGACCUGAAACUGACUUGGCUUCUGUUGUGACACAUAAGUUCGUGUCCAACAACA
rnacentral:snoRNA from 1 species